GAUGAACGCUGGCGGCGUGCCUAAUACAUGCAAGUAGAACGCUGAAGGAGGAGCUUGCUCUUCUGGAUGAGUUGCGAACGGGUGAGUAACGCGUAGGUAACCUGCCUGGUGGCGGGGGAUAACUAUUGGAAACGAUAGCUAAUACCGCAUGACAACAGUUAUUGCAUGAUAACUGUUUAAAAGGGGCAACUGCUCCACUACCAGAUGGACCUGCGUUGUAUUAGCUAGUUGGUGAGGUAACGGCUCACCAAGGCGACGAUACAUAGCCGACCUGAGAGGGUGAUCGGCCACACUGGGACUGAGACACGGCCCAGACUCCUACGGGAGGCAGCAGUAGGGAAUCUUCGGCAAUGGACGGAAGUCUGACCGAGCAACGCCGCGUGAGUGAAGAAGGUUUUCGGAUCGUAAAGCUCUGUUGUAAGAGAAGAACGAGUGUGAGAGUGGAAAGUUCACACUGUGACGGUAUCUUACCAGAAAGGGACGGCUAACUACGUG
rnacentral:rRNA from 1 species